GAUGAACGCUGGCGGCGUGCCUAAUACAUGCAAGUCGAGCGAACAGACGAGGAGCUUGCUCCUCUGACGUUAGCGGCGGACGGGUGAGUAACACGUGGAUAACCUACCUAUAAGACUGGGAUAACUUCGGGAAACCGGAGCUAAUACCGGAUAAUAUAUUGAACCGCAUGGUUCAAUAGUGAAAGACGGUUUUGCUGUCACUUAUAGAUGGAUCCGCGCCGCAUUAGCUAGUUGGUAAGGUAACGGCUUACCAAGGCGACGAUGCGUAGCCGACCUGAGAGGGGGAUCGGCCACACUGGAACUGAGACACGGUCCAGACUCCUACGAGAGGCAGCAGUAGGGAAUCUUCCGCAAUGGGCGAAAGCCUGACGGAGCAACGCCGCGUGAGUGAUGAAGGUCUUCGGAUCGUAAAACUCUGUUAUUAGGGAAGAACAAAUGUGUAAGUAACUAUGCACGUCUUGACGGUACCUAAUCAGAAAGCCACGGCUAACUACGUG
rnacentral:rRNA from 1 species